rnacentral:tRNA from 1 species
GGAAAGGUGCAGGAGUGGUUUAACUGGCACGCCUGGAAAGCGUGUGUACGUUAACGCGUACCGAGGGUUCAAAUCCCUCCCUUUCCGCCA